GGAGCAACGCCGCGUGAGGGAGGAAUGUCUGUGGAUUGUAAACCUCUUUUCUCUGGGAAGAAGUACUGACGGUACCAGAGGAAUCAGCAUCGGCUAACUCCGUGCCAGCAGCCGCGGUAAGACGGAGGAUGCAAGCGUUAUCCGGAAUUAUUGGGCGUAAAGCGUCCGUAGGCGGUUAGAUAAGUCAGUUGUUAAAGACUGCAGCUCAACUGUGGGGGAGCAACUGAAACUGUUUGACUAGAGUAUGGUAGGGGUAGAGGGAAUUCCUAGUGUAGCGGUGAAAUGCGUAGAUAUUAGGAAGAACACCAGUGGCGAAGGCGCUCUACUGGGCCAAGACUGACGCUGAUGGACGAAAGCUAGGGGAGCGAAAGGGAUUAGAUACCCCUGUAGUCCUAGCCGUAAACGAUGGAUACUAGGUGUUGUGCGUAUCGACCCGUGCAGUACCGCAGCAAACGCGUUAAGUAUCCCGCCUGGGGAGUACGCACGCAAGUGUGAAACUCAAAGGAAUUGACGGGGGCCCGCACAAGCGGUGGAGUAUGUGGUUUAAUUCGAUGCAACGCGAAGAACCUUACCAGGACUUGACAUCCCUCGAAUAUCUGAGAAAUCAGAUAGUGCCUUCGGGAGCGAGGAGACAGGUGGUGCAUGGCUGUCGUCAGCUCGUGUCGUGAGAUGUUGGGUUAAGUCCCGCAACGAGCGCAACCCACGUCUUUAGUUGCCAUCAUUCAGUUGGGCACUCUGGAGAGACUGCCGGGGACAACUCGGAGGAAGGUGUGGACGACGUCAAGUCAUCAUGCCCCUUACGUUCUGGGCUACACACGUACUACAAUGCAAUGGACAAAGGGCAGCCAACUCGCGAGAGAGAGCUAAUCCCAUAAACCGUUGCACAGUUCAGAUUGCAGGCUGCAACUCGCCUGCAUGAAGGAGGAAUCGCUAGUAAUCGCAGGUCAGCAUACUGCGGUGAAUACGUUCCCGGGCCUUGUACACACCGCCCGUCACACCAUGGAAGUUGGCCAUGCCCGAAGUCGUUACCCUAACCGCUUGCGGA
rnacentral:rRNA from 1 species